AGAGUUUGAUCCUGGCUCAGGAUGAACGCUAGCUACAGGCUUAACACAUGCAAGUCGAGGGGCAGCAUGGUCUUAGCUUGCUAAGGCCGAUGGCGACCGGCGCACGGGUGAGUAACACGUAUCCAACCUGCCGUCUACUCUUGGACAGCCUUCUGAAAGGAAGAUUAAUACAAGAUGGCAUCAUGAGUCCGCAUGUUCACAUGAUUAAAGGUAUUCCGGUAGACGAUGGGGAUGCGUUCCAUUAGAUAGUAGGCGGGGUAACGGCCCACCUAGUCUUCGAUGGAUAGGGGUUCUGAGAGGAAGGUCCCCCACAUUGGAACUGAGACACGGUCCAAACUCCUACGGGAGGCAGCAGUGAGGAAUAUUGGUCAAUGGGCGAGAGCCUGAACCAGCCAAGUAGCGUGAAGGAUGACUGCCCUAUGGGUUGUAAACUUCUUUUAUAAAGGAAUAAAGUCGGGUAUGGAUACCCGUUUGCAUGUACUUUAUGAAUAAGGAUCGGCUAACUCCGUGCCAGCAGCCGCGGUAAUACGGAGGAUCCGAGCGUUAUCCGGAUUUAUUGGGUUUAAAGGGAGCGUAGAUGGAUGUUUAAGUCAGUUGUGAAAGUUUGCGGCUCAACCGUAAAAUUGCAGUUGAUACUGGAUAUCUUGAGUGCAGUUGAGGCAGGCGGAAUUCGUGGUGUAGCGGUGAAAUGCUUAGAUAUCACGAAGAACUCCGAUUGCGAAGGCAGCCUGCUAAGCUGCAACUGACAUUGAGGCUCGAAAGUGUGGGUAUCAAACAGGAUUAGAUACCCUGGUAGUCCACACGGUAAACGAUGAAUACUCGCUGUUUGCGAUAUACUGCAAGCGGCCAAGCGAAAGCGUUAAGUAUUCCACCUGGGGAGUACGCCGGCAACGGUGAAACUCAAAGGAAU
rnacentral:rRNA from 1 species